GACAACAAACGCACGACAAACACUCGACAUGCGCGACAUUGUUUUUUCCAUCGAUUUUCCUUAAUUUCGACGUCACGAUUUUCGUCGACGCAAACAGUUUGACAGUUCUCUUCAGCUGAUCUUGUUUGGACUUGAUUUCAACCAAAUUGAACCAGUUGUCGUUGCUGUUGGGCUACUGGAGGAUUUUGACCGAUUGACAGAUUUCGGUUGUCGUGGCUGUGAAGGACGAAGACAGUGGGCCAUGUUCCGGUAUCGGAAGGAAUCGGUCUGCGAUUGAGAAAGCGGAUUGGUGUUUUGCUUUCCGCGGAAGUUGCAUUCCCAAAGGAGAAGGAGUUUCCGAGUGUUGAAUGUGUCGGAAACAGAAGGAGGGAGACGGAACAUUCAAGCUCGGGAGUCAAUCACUGUUCCGCUUGAAUAAAAAGGUGGAGGAGGACGAAAUAAUAAACUCCCGCGACGUUUCUAAACAGCCAGAAUUUGUUAAUGGAACCGCUCUGUACAAACAGUUUCCAGAGUGCUUUUGCUGGACGUGG
rnacentral:lncRNA from 1 species